rnacentral:rRNA from 1 species
CAGCAGCCACGGUAAUACAGAGGGUGCGAGCGUUAAUCGGAUUUACUGGGCGUAAAGCAUGCGUAGGCGGCUUUUUAAGUCGGAUGUGAAAUCCCUGAGCUUAACUUAGGAAUUGCAUUCGAUACUGGGAAGCUAGAGUAUGGGAGAGGAUGGUAAAAUUCCAGGUGUAGCGGUGAAAUGCGUAGAGAUCUGGAGGAAUACCGAUGGCGAAGGCAGCCAUCUGGCCUAAUACUGACGCUGAGGUACGAAAGCAUGGGGAGCAAACAGGAUUAGAUACCCGUGUAGUCCCUGUCUCUUAUAC